AGAGUUUGAUCCUGGCUCAGGACGAACGCUGGCGGCGUGCUUAACACAUGCAAGUCGAACGGAAAGGCCUCUUUCGGGGGGUACUCGAGUGGCGAACGGGUGAGUAACACGUGAGUAACCUGCCCUUGACUUUGGGAUAACUUCAGGAAACUGGGGCUAAUACCGGAUAGGAGCUCCUGCUGCAUGGUGGGGGUUGGAAAGUUUCGGCGGUUGGGGAUGGACUCGCGGCUUAUCAGCUUGUUGGUGGGGUAGUGGCUUACCAAGGCUUUGACGGGUAGCCGGCCUGAGAGGGUGACCGGCCACAUUGGGACUGAGAUACGGCCCAGACUCCUACGGGAGGCAGCAGUGGGGAAUAUUGCACAAUGGGUGGAAGCCUGAUGCAGCAACGCCGUGUGCGGGAUGACGGCCUUCGGGUUGUAAACCGCUUUCGCUCAUGACGAAGCUUUGUGUGACGGUAGUGGGUAAAGAAGCACCGGCUAACUACGUG
rnacentral:rRNA from 1 species